rnacentral:rRNA from 1 species
UGUGAUUAGAGUUUGAUCCUGGCUCAGAUUGAACGCUGGCGGAAUGCUUUACACAUGCAAGUCGAGCGGCAGCGCGGUCUUCGGACUGGCGGCGAGCGGCGAACGGGUGAGUAAUACAUCGGAACAUGCCCAGUCGUGGGGGAUAACACUUCGAAAGAAGUGCUAAUACCGCAUACGUCCUGAGGGAGAAAGCGGGGGAUCGCAAGACCUCGCGCGAUUGGAGUGGCCGAUGUCAGAUUAGCUAGUUGGUGGGGUAAAGGCCUACCAAGGCAACGAUCUGUAGCUGGUCUGAGAGGAUGAUCAGCCACACUGGGACUGAGACACGGCCCAUACUCCUACGGGAGGCAGCAGUGGGGAAUUUUGGACAAUGGGGGCAACCCUGAUCCAGCCAUUCCGCGUGAGUGAAGAAGGCCUUCGGGUUGUAAAGCUCUUUCGGCAGGAACGAAACGGCGAGCUCUAACAUAGCUCGCUAAUGACGGUACCUGAAGAAGAAGCACCGGCUAACUACGUGCCAGCAGCCGCGGUAAUACGUAGGGUGCGAGCGUUAAUCGGAAUUACUGGGCGUAAAGCGUGCGCAGGCG